AAGUUGUUGUGGAAAUUCUUCGUCGGGAAAGGAAGGGGUAUGAAGAGACGCCGGCGGUGUGGGCUUCAUCAGCCGCAGGUGUUGGAAUAAACGUCGUCGGAGUUGAUUCAUCGUGACAAAUAGUUCGAUGGUUUAAUUUGCUUUUAUUUUCUUCCACUAAAUGAUGCGUGUAAAAUGUACAAAGUGUAGAUUGUACCACAUUCUAAGAAACACAAAUUAUAUCCAAUACGUAUAUCCAAAGGAUCCUUGGUGCAAUGAUAGUGCGUCUGUCUCCAAAUUAAAAGGUUCUGUGUUCGAUUCAUAUGAGGUUCAAUCGCCUCAUUUGGAAAUCUUUUUGUUUAUCAUACCAAAAGGAAAUAAUAACCAAUAAAUGCAUUAUAUACACCUAAAAAUGUAUCUUUUAAGUGUUUAUGUCUAG
rnacentral:lncRNA from 1 species